UACGUAGGUGACAAGCGUUGUCCGGAUUUACUGGGCGUAAAGAGCGCGCAGGCGGUCGAUCAAGUCGAGUGUGAAAGCCCCCGGCUCAACUGGGGAGGGUCAUUCGAUACUGAUCGACUCGAAGGCAGGAGAGGGUAGUGGAAUUCCCGGUGUAGUGGUGAAAUGCGUAGAUAUCGGGAGGAACACCAGUGGCGAAGGCGGCUCUCUGGGACGGUACUGACGCUGAGACGCGAAAGCGUGAGGAGCGAACAGG
rnacentral:rRNA from 1 species